CCUGCCUGGUGGACUAUUGCCUAUGUGUCCGUCGCAAACUCCCUGUCUAUUUUUUUGUUGAACGGCAGUGACUUACGUUCACUUGCGACAUCGAAUAGCGACAAAAUGUUCAACUGUAAUUCCAUCAAUCACCCCGCGACAUUAAGGACCAGCUUUACGCUCACCUUAAGCCUGCAGCAGCGACUUCUGCCGGGACAGCUAAACUGCACUUCGCGAGCUGUCGUCUUCUCCACAAAAUUUAUUAUUUUUUUUCAUUCCCCGCAUCUGCCUUUAGCAGCCCGAGUGACAUUUGUUGUAAUACCACCCGAACCUGCGUCAGUCCAGAUGCAUGCGAAUUCGAAAAUAAAUUUGGGCGCCAUUUGUUACA